rnacentral:rRNA from 1 species
CCUACGGGUGGCAGCAGUGGGGAAUCUUGUGCAAUGCGCGAAAGCGUGACGCAGCAACGCCGCGUGGGGGAAGAAGGCCUUCGGGUUGUAAGCCCCUUUCAGGAGGGACGAAGCCCGGGCGGUGAAUAGCCGACUCGGGUGACGGUACCUCCAGAAGAAGCCCCGGCUAACUACGUGCCAGCAGCCGCGGUAAUACGUAGGGGGCAAGCGUUGUCCGGAAUCAUUGGGCGUAAAGAGCGUGUAGGCGGUCCGGUAAGUCGGCUGUGAAAGUCCAGGGCUCAACUCUGGGAUGCCGGUCGAUACUGCCGGACUAGAGUUCGGAAGAGGCGAGUGGAAUUCCCGGUGUAGCGGCGAAAUGCGCAGAUAUCGGGAGGAACACCUAUGGCGAAGGCAGCCCGCUGGGACGUUACUGACGCUGAGGCGCGAAAGCGUGGGGAGCAAACAGGAUUAGAUACCCCUGUAGUC